AAAGCAAAGAAUAUGGAGUAAUUGCCUUACACAAAGCCCCCGAGUGCAAGCAGUCCAGCUGGCGUUCAGAGACUGGGGCACCUUGGGGUGCUGCCUCGGGGAGGGGUGUCAGGGGGCUGCUGGGCCACUGCCCAGCAGCCAGAGGUUGAGCUACAGUCAGAGUUGCCAGCUGCCCUUAAUAUGGAGGUUAAUCAAUUAAUAAUUAAUAAAAGUCAAUUAAUAAUUGAGUAAUUAAUUCACCUGGAGGGGGCUGCCCUCUGCUACAGGGUGGGGAGGGAUCGCAGCUCGCACCGCAGUGCAGGCAGACAUGGUACAAGUCCGUCAUCCCCCAGCACAGGGCAGGGUGGCUUGUAUAGGAACCUGGGAUUUUUGUGGUUGCAGUUAGACAUAAUUGCUGUUUCCACUUGCAAAGCAACGAGUCUUGUGUGCUGAGUAGAUGUUUUGUGCUGCUCACCGGCGCUCCGAUCGUGAUGCAAAUCUCCCUGGCUCCUGGGUUGCAAGGAAGAAAAGAUUUCUUUGUUUUGAACUGAAUGGUUUCCCAUGAAUGGGAAACCCAGACAGCGUGGUGCUCCAGAUUACUUUAAUGUGUUUUUCCUGGAACGAGGAUGCACCAGCAGUUCAUACUCUGCAGGUAUGGCUGCAACACCUGAUGGGGUGAUAACUGCAAUCAGGUUUCACGAUCACAGGAUGGUUAAGGUUGGCAGGGACCUCUGGGUGCUCCGGUGCCUCCCCAGCCCCAGCAGGGCCCCCGAGCAGGGUGCCCAGCCCCACGGCCAGGCGGCUGCUGGAGAUGUCCCCGAGGAGCCCCCAGCCCCUCUGGGCAGCC
rnacentral:lncRNA from 1 species